GGAAGCAGCUCAGUUGGUAGAGUGCUUGCCUCUCAUGCACAAGGCCCUGGGUCCAAUCCCCAAUACCG
rnacentral:tRNA from 1 species